UACAGAGGUGGCAAGCGUUGUUCGGAAUUACUGGGCGUAAAGGGCGCGUAGGCGGUUCGAUAAGUCCCGUGUGAAAUCCCUCGGCUCAACUGAGGAAUGGCACGGGAAACUGACGGGCUUGAGUUCGGGAGAGGGAAGCGGAAUUCCGGGUGUAGCGGUGAAAUGCGUAGAUAUCCGGAGGAACACCGGUGGCGAAGGCGGCUUCCUGGACCGGACACUGACGCUGAGGCGCGAAAGCUAGGGGAGCAAACGGG
rnacentral:rRNA from 1 species